UCAAGAUCUUUUUUAAACUGAUUAUGAAGCACCCAAAACGGGGCUCUCUUUUGUGCAUGAAUUAUGGUGAGAAAGUGCUUUCUGUUUUGGGCGUUGUGGACAUCAGAUAUACAACAUGGUAUUG
rnacentral:pre_miRNA from 14 species